CCCCACUGCUAUCGGGAUGGGACUAAGACAUGCUAGUCGAGCGUCUCCAAGCUAUGGAAGAGACGCGGCACACAGCUCAGUAACACGUGGCUAACCUGCCCUUGGGACAAGGACAACUCCGGGAAACUGGGGCUAAUCCCUGAUAAGUGGGAACUCCUGGAAUGGAUUCUCGCUCAAAGGACGUUUAGACCAUGCUUCUAGGCGUCGCCCAAGGAGGGGGCCGCGACCGAUCAGGUUGUUGGUGAGGUAACGGCUCACCAAGCCUUUAACCGGUACGGGCCGUGAGAGCGGAAGCCCGGAGAUGGGCACUGAGACAAGGGCCCAGGCCCUACGGGGCGCAGCAGUCGCGAAAACUCCGCAAUACACGAAAGUGUGACGGGGCCAUCCCGAGUGCCAUCCGCUGAGGAUGGCUUUUCCCCAGUGUAUAAAGCUGGGGGAAUAAGGAGAGGGCAAGCCUGGUGUCAGCCGCCGCGGUAAUACCAGCUCUCCGAGUGGUGGGGAUGUUUAUUGGGCCUAAAGCAUUCGUAGCCUGCUUGGCAAGUCCUCCGUUAAAUCCAACGAUUCAAUCGUUGGGCUGCGGGGGAUACUGUCCAGCUAGGGGGCGGGAGAGGCCGACGGUAUCCCCGGGGUAGGGGUGAAAUCCUAUAAUCCCGGGAGGACCACCAGUGGCGAAGGCUGUCGGCUAGAACGCGCUCGACGGUGAGGGAUGAAAGCUGGGGGAGCGAACCGGAUUAGAUACUCGGGUAGUCCCAGCUGUAAACGAUGCAGGCUAGGUGUUGGCGCGGCUACGUGCCGCUCCAGUGCCGCAGGGAAGCCGUUAAGCCUGCCGCCUGGGAAGUACGGCCGCAAGGCUGAAACUUAAAGGAAUUGGCGGGGGAGCACCACAAGGUGUGAAGCUUGCGGUUUAAUUGGAUUCAACGCCGGA
rnacentral:rRNA from 1 species